rnacentral:rRNA from 1 species
UACAGAGGGGGCAAGCGUUAUUCGGAAUUAUUGGGCGUAAAGGGCGCGUAGGCGGCUUUGCAAGUGACGGGUGAAAGCCCUCGGCUUAACCGAGGAACUGCCUGUCAGACUGUAAGGCUUGAGACCGGGAGAGGUGAGUGGAAUUCCCAGUGUAGCGGUGAAAUGCGUAGAUAUUGGGAGGAACACCAGUGGCGAAGGCGGCUCACUGGACCGGUACUGACGCUGAUGCGCGAAAGCGUGGGGAGCAAACAGG